rnacentral:rRNA from 1 species
ACUUAGAGAGAUAUAGAAUUAAAAAUAAUUAAAUACAGGAUCAAGCCAGGUUAGUACUUGGAUGGGAGACCACCUAGGAAGAUCAGGUGCUGUAGGCG